rnacentral:rRNA from 1 species
UCGGGAAUUUUGGGCAAUGGGCGAAAGCCUGACCCAGCAACGCCGCGUGAAGGAUGAAGUAUUUCGGUAUGUAAACUUCGAAAGAAUAGGAAGAAUAAAUGACGGUACUAUUUAUAAGGUCCGGCUAACUACGUGCCAGCAGCCGCGGUAAUACGUAGGGACUAAGCGUUGUUCGGAUUUACUGGGCGUAAAGGGCGCGUAGGCGGCAAUUCAAGUCAUCUGUGAAAUCUCCGGGCUUAACUCGGAACGGUCAGAUGAUACUGCUUUGCUAGAGUGCAGAAGGGGCAAUCGGAAUUCUUGGUGUAGCGGUGAAAUGCGUAGAUAUCAAGAGGAACACCUGAGGUGAAGACGGGUUGCUGGGCUGACACUGACGCUGAGGCGCGAAAGCCAGGGGAGCAAACGGGAUUAGAUACCCGAGUAGUCCCUGAGCGGGCUGGCAAGGCGCAU